GCACUAAAUGAUGAUUUACUUUUCUUUUGUCGGAUACCCCUUCACCUAUUUUAUGAGUGAGAACCCUAAUCUGAUGCGC
ensembl:snoRNA small nucleolar RNA SNORD101